GCCUUGGUAGCUCAGUUGGUAGAGCAUGAGACUCUUAAACUUAGGGUCAUGGGUUUGAGUCCCAUGUUGGGCA